AUUGAACGCUGGCGGCAGGCUUAACACAUGCAAGUCGAGCGGGGAAAGGUAGCUUGCUACCUGACCUAGCGGCGGACGGGUGAGUAAUGCUUAGGAAUCUGCCUAUUAGUGGGGGACAACAUUCCGAAAGGAAUGCUAAUACCGCCUACGCCCUACGGGGGAAAGCAGGGGAUCUUCGGACCUUGCGCUAAUAGAUGAGCCUAAGUCAGAUUAGCUAGUUGGUGGGGUAAAGGCCUACCAAGGCGACGAUCUGUAGCGGGUCUGCGAGGAUGAUCCACACAACUGGGACUGAGACACGGCCCAGACUUCUACGGGAGGCAGCAGUGGGGAAGAUUGGACAAUGGGCGAAAGCCUGAUCCAGCCAUGCCGCGUGUGUGAAGAAGGCCUUUUGGUUGUAAAGCACUUUAAGCGAGGAGGAGGCUACUUGGAUUAAUACUCUAGGAUAGUGGACGUUACUCGCAGAAUAAGCACCGGCUAACUCUGUGCCAGCCGCCGCCGUAA
rnacentral:rRNA from 1 species